AUUUUAUCCCUGAUAUUUUGGAUGUGACUGGAGUAGACGAGUGUGCGUAGCAAGCACUCAAUAGAAAUGACUAAAGAAUGGAAUGUGAUAUGUAUGCUACCAGAGGAGAAAGAGCAGCUUCUAUUUGCAGCAGUGAUGAACAGAGUCCCACAAAUCUCCAAAGCACAGAGGAUGAGACUAAGGAAAGCAGACCCCUAAAUGGGACAUUUACAUCACAUCCCCUCCUUCCAAGACCCAGCAGUGAUCAUCAAAGAAGAGUAAAGAAGAAAGGACCAUAAGUGUCAGGAUUCACUUCAGUGUUGAAGACUUUAGAACGUUAUAGAAAAACAACAACAACAAACAAACACCGCUUUUCAAGAAAGCUCUCACAGAAGCGACAAUAGACAGUGGCCAACACCCAGAGGCCGUCUCUU